GAUGAACGCUAGCGGCAGGCUUAACACAUGCAAGUCGAGGGGUAUAGUUCUUCGAAACUAGAGACCGGCGCACGGGUGCGUAACGCGUAUGCAAUCUACCUUUCACAGAGGGAUAGCCCAGAGAAAUUUGGAUUAAUACCUCAUAGUAUAAUGAGUUGGCAUCAACACAUUAUUAAAGUCACAACGGUGAAAGAUGAGCAUGCGUCCCAUUAGCUAGAUGGUAAGGUAACGGCUUACCAUGGCUACGAUGGGUAGGGGUCCUGAGAGGGAGAUCCCCCACACUGGUACUGAGACACGGACCAGACUCCUACGGGAGGCAGCAGUGAGGAAUAUUGGACAAUGGGCGCAAGCCUGAUCCAGCCAUGCCGCGUGCAGGAUGACGGUCCUAUGGAUUGUAAACUGCUUUUGUACAGGAAGAAACACUGGUUC
rnacentral:rRNA from 1 species